GAAACAACUGAUCACAUAAUAAGAAUUACCGAUGGUUUUCUCAGAAAUUUAAAAGGCCUUAAGGGUAACAUACAAAUUGGUGAUGGAUUUUUAUUCACAUAGAAUCAACCAAAAAAGCACAUAUACUCUUGGAUAAAAUUAUUGCAACAUUCAUAAGAUUUUGCAAAUAAAAAAUGAUAGUUUGAAAAAGGACCCAUAUUCAACAUACAUUGUUAAACAAAACAAAAAGUGUCAAGAAAUCUCCCAGUAUUAUGUUCUUGCAAAUACAAAUCCAACUCAGUUUGUUACACUGAUUAGCAAAUAAAUUUCUAUAUUUAAGUGAAUAGUAGCUGUUCACAAGAAUGUGUCCGCAGAACAUGGAUACCCCUCAACUAUCAUUUUCUAUGCUUAAUGGACCAUCAAAUUGGGGUCACAAUUCUAAUUUGGCAUUCGAAUUAGAAAGAUCAAAUCAAAGGGAAUAUGAGUACUAUAUUAAAGUUUCAAGUUGAUUGGACUUCAACUUCAUGAAAAACUACCUAGAUCAAACACUUUAACCUGCGGACCAGCUGAGAGACGGA
rnacentral:lncRNA from 1 species